UACGAAGGGGGCUAGCGUUGCUCGGAAUUACUGGGCGUAAAGGGCGCGUAGGCGGGUCGUUAAGUAGGGGGUGAAAGCCCAGGGCUCAACCCUGGAAUUGCCCUUCUAAACUGGCGACCUUGAGUAUGGCAGAGGUGUGUGGAACUCCGAGUGUAGAGGUGAAAUUCGUAGAUAUUCGGAAGAAAGCACCAGUGGCGCAAGGACGACACACUGGGCCAUUACUGA
rnacentral:rRNA from 1 species